AUGGCCACUGUGACCUUUGGCAGUCUAAUUUCUCAACUGGAUUACAACUGGAUGCCCUACAUACAGCUAUUCUCAAUAACCACACACGCCUACAAGAGAGAGAAACUUUUAACUGGUAAGAAUGCUGGAGCUACAUCUGACCAGGAAAUUGGUAACACGAUUACAUCACUGGGCUCCAGAAGUUUUGAGAACUUCCAUUUGGCUUGGGGAAACAAUUCAAGAGGAAAAGAACAGAAGCAAAAUGGAUUAAGAGGCUUACCCAAAGUCAUUCAACAGAUUACUGGUAAAGGCCUCAUUGUCUUGAGCAUGAAGGAAGUGGCAGACCAGCGGGACUGUAAUCUAUUAUCUGUUACCACUAAGAGCAGGGAUGGGUUGUGACACCAAGAGGGGAAAAAAGGCCAGAGACACAGGCACAGGGGAGACUCGUCCGAGUACGGCUGUACUAGACAUUUCCUUCAAAAGACUCAUGUGUAACUGUGGGUACACUUGGGAGGGGAGCCAGGAGGGGAGAAGAAAAAGAAAGCAAUUUGAUAAAAGAACUUGAAUAGGUUGAGCAAGGGGUGAUUUUACAUACAGGGUAGUUUCCUGAUCCUUGCACUGGUCUACAUGCCUGUGAAUCAAUUACACACACACACACACACACACACACACGCAUGAUCUCUCUUUCAUGAAUUAAUUAUUCCUACACAUUCUUGAAUGAAGCCCAUGCACAAUAUGGCAGAACAUGUGAUGAAUCCACCUGCCAGGACCCUUGGAUGGUGCCUGCGGUGGAAGUUGGGCAGCACUUAUCAAAGGCACGGCUGUCUUGUUCUCACCAGAAAGCAUGUGAAUAAAAGCCAAUGCAAAAUGAGCUGCA
rnacentral:lncRNA from 13 species